rnacentral:rRNA from 1 species
AUGUCGAGGGUAAACUCAUCUACCUCGAGAGUUGGCGGCGGCAAGAACACGACGACGGGGAGAUCGGAAGUGGGAGCGGAGGUGGAGGCGGCGGAGGUAGCUGAAGGGGGUAGGUCAGAACGGGAGGAUUCACUAGAUGAGAAGUUGAGAUACCUGAAUCUCAGGGAAGAAGAGGAAGAAGACGUGGUACUAGAGGAAGAUUUGGAGGAGCUAGAGAAGGAUGCAGAAUUCAUGGCGCUAGCCAGGGUGCACACGUCAAGAAAAUUCAGCCAUGGAGCCUUCUAUGGAACAAUGAGAUCAGCGUGGAAUUUGGCGCAGGAAGUAGAAUUCAGAGCCAUAGAAGAGUCAUGCAGGAUGGGCCUUGGAUCUUCCGAAACUGCCCGGUGCUGCUUGCUCCUUAUGAUGGUUGGUCAGACCCAGGCGAGGUGGAGUUGA